AGAGUUUGAUCCUGGCUCAGAUUGAACGCUGGCGGCAUGGCUAAAACAUGCAAGUCGAACGCGAAAGGGGAGCAAUCCCCAAGUAGAGUGGCGAAGGGGUGAGUAAUACAUUUCUACGUGCCCCGAGGUCAGGGAUAGCUCAGGGAAACCUGAAUUAAUACCUGAUGUGGUCUACGGAUCAAAGGCGCAAGUCGCCUCGGGAGCGGGGAAUGUCCUAUCAGCUAGUUGGUGAGGUAACGGCUCACCAAGGCUCUGACGGGUAGCGGGUGUGAGAGCAUGGCCCGCCACAUCGGGACUGAGACACUGCCCGGACUCCUACGGGAGGCUGCAGUAACGAAUCUUCCACAAUGCGCGAAAGCGUGAUGGAGCAAUGCCGCGUGCAGGAUGAAGCCCUUCGGGGUGUAAACUGCUGUCAGGUUUUAGGAACACAAUGACCAAAGCCAAAGGAAGAGACGACUAACUCUGUGCCAGCAGUCGCGGUAAUACAGAGGUCUCGAGCGUUAGUCGGAGUCACUGGGCUUAAAGCGUACGUAGGCGGACAUGCAGGCGUCGUGUGAAAUCCCUCGGCUCAACCGGGGAACUGCACGGCGAACCGCAUGUCUUGAGAAAGGUAGGGGCUGUCGGAACGGUAGGUGGAGUGGUGAAAUGCGUUGAUAUCUAUCGGAACGCCGAAGGUGAAGACAGGCAGCUGGGCCUUUUCUGACGCUGAGGUACGAAAGAGUGGGUAGCGAACGGGAUUAGAUACCCCGGUAGUCCACGCCGUAAACGAUGUGCACUAGAUCGUGGAAGGUCUGACCCUAUUCACGGUCGAAGUAAAAACGUUGAGUGCACCGCCUGGGGAGUACGGUCGCAAGGCUAAAACUCAAAGGAAUUGACGGGGGCUCACACAAGCGGUGGAGCAUGUGGCUCAAUUCGAAACAACGCGAAGAACCUUAUCCUGGGUUUGACAUGUAUGGAUUAGUUCCGUGAAAGCGGAAUGACACUCUUGUAGUGGAACGUACACAGGUGCUGCAUGGCUGUCGUCAGCUCGUGCUGUGAAGUGUCGGGUUAGGUCCCUUAACGAGCGAAACCCCUGUCGCUAGUUGCUACCAGGUAAUGCUGAGGACUCUAGUGAGACUGCCGGUGUUAAACCGGACGAAGGUGGGGAUGACGUCAAGUCCUCAUGGCCUUUAUGCCCAGGGCUGCACACGUGCUACAAUGGCGCAAACAGAACGAUGCAAGACCGCAAGGUGGAGCAGACCGCUUAAAUUGCGCCCCAGUUCGGAUUGUGGGCUGCAACCCGCCCACAUGAAGUCGGAAUCGCUAGUAAUCGCGGAUCAGCUACGCCGCGGUGAAUAAGUUCCUGAGCCUUGUACACACCGCCCGUCAAGUCAUGGAAGCUGGUAGCGCCUGAAGUCGCCGAAGUUCAUCGGUGCCCACGGCGAGACUGGUGACUGGGACUAAGUCGUAACAAGGUA
rnacentral:rRNA from 1 species